UACAGCCAUAUCAUGUUUAAACACUGGUUCUUACACAAUCACUGAAGUUAAGCAAUGUUGAGCCUGGUCAGUAUCUAGAUGGGUAACUGCUUGGGAAUACCAGGUACUGUAAG